CUGCUGCCUCCCGUAGGAGUCUGGGCCGUGUCUCAGUCCCAAUGUGGCCGGCCAACCUCUCAGUCCGGCUACUGAUCGUCGCCUUGGUGGGCCGUUACCCCGCCAACCAGCUAAUCAGACGCGAGUCCAUCUCAGAGCGAUAAAUCUUUGAUAUCCAGUGCCAUGCGACACAGAUAUAUUAUGCGGUAUUAGCAGCUGUUUCCAGCUGUUAUUCCCCACUCCAAGGCAGGUUA
rnacentral:rRNA from 1 species